GACGAACGCUGGCGGCGUGCUUAACACAUGCAAGUCGAGCGGUAAGGCCCUUUCGGGGGUACGACGAGCGGCGAACGGGUGAGUAACACGUGGGUGACCUGCCCUCCAGCUCUGGGAGUAAGCCUGGGAAACCGGGUCUAAUACCGGAUAUGACUCCAUGACGCAUGUUGUGGGGUGGAAAGCCUUGUGCGGCUGAGGAUGGGCCCGCGGCCUAUCAGCUUGUUGGUGGGGUGANGGCCCUACCAAGGCGACGACGGGUAGCCGGCCUGAGAGGGCGACCGGCCACACUGGGACUGAGACACGGCCCAGACUCCUACGGGAGGCAGCA
rnacentral:rRNA from 1 species